rnacentral:rRNA from 1 species
CCUANGGGGGGCAGCAGUGAGGAAUAUUGGUCAAUGGACGCAAGUCUGAACCAGCCAUGCCGCGUGCAGGAUGACGGCCCUAUGGGUUGUAAACUGCUUUUAUACGGAGAGAAACCUUCCGACGAGUCGGGAGUUGACGGUACUGUAUGAAUAAGCAUCGGCUAACUCCGUGCCAGCAGCCGCGGUAAUACGGAGGAUGCAAGCGUUAUCCGGAUUCAUUAGGUUUAAAGGGUGCGUAGGCGGAAUAUUAAGUCAGUGGUGAAAUCCUGCGGCUCAACCGCAGAACAGCCAUUGAUACUGGUUUUCUUGAGUAUAGUUGAGGUAGGCGGAAUGUGUAAUGUAGCGGUGAAAUGCUUAGAUAUUACCCAGAACACCGAUUGCGAAGGCAGCUUACUAAACUAGAACUGACGCUGAGGCACGAAAGCGUGGGGAGCGAACAGGAUUAGAUACCCCANUANUC